rnacentral:rRNA from 1 species
GACGAACGCUGGCGGCGUGCUUAACACAUGCAAGUCGAACGGGCCCGCCCCUGUUUUUGGGGGUGGGUUGAGUGGCGAACGGGUGAGUAUCACGUGAGUAACCUGCCCCCUGCUCCUGGAUAACUGCUUGAAAGGGCGGCUAAUACGGGGUGUGCCGGCUGGUCCGCAUGGGCCUGGUCGGGAUAGUUUCAUCUUCGGGUGUUUCGGUGGGGGAUGGGCUCGCGGCCUAUCAGCUUGUUGGUGGGGUGAUGGCCCACCAAGGCGGUGACGGGUAGCCGGCCUGAGAGGGUGGGCGGCCACACUGGGACUGAGACACGGCCCAGACUCCUGCGGGAGGCAGCAGUGGGGGGUAGUGCACAAUGGGCGGAAGCCUGAGGCAGCGACGUCGCGUGAGGGAUGGAGGCCUUCGGGUUGUGAACCUCUUUCUCCGGUGGUGAAGGCCCUGUCCGGUGCGGCGGGGUUGACGGUAGCCGGGGAUGAAGCGCCGGCUAACUACGUG